rnacentral:rRNA from 1 species
CACGUAGGCGGAUUGGCAAGUCAGAUGUGAAAGCCCGGGGCUUAACCUCGGAACUGCAUUUGAUACUGUCAGUCUUGAGUAUGGUAGAGGGGGAUGGAAUUCCCGGUGUAGAGGUGAAAUUCGUAGAUAUCGGGAGGAACACCAGAGGCGAAGGCGAUCCCCUGGGCCAUUACUGACGCUGAGGCGCGAAAGCGUGGGGAGCGAACAGGAUUAGAUACCCUGGUAGUCC